GCCUAUGGUACAUCUGUACAUAGCGGGCGAUCUGCGCAUACUACACUAUAUUAAACUAAAUUAUUAUCUUCAAAAGCAAAGCAAUGGGUUUCUUCCUUGUUGAUCUUGAAUUGCUGCUUGCUGGAACCGUUAAACCCAAAGCUUCGAUGUGAUAUUUUAUUGAAAUUUCAAGUUGAAAAUUAGCUUUCAUAGUUUAGUAAUAUACUAAAAAACAUUUUGGCUUUUUAUGUGGUUAACAUAACAACAUAGUGCAAUAAGGUCCACCUUGUAUGAUGUGACUAUCUUAUUCAAUAUUUCUGAUUUUGAGAAAAGCAUUUACCAAUCAUAUCAAACGUCCACCUUGUAUGAUGUGACUAUCUUCUUAUUCAAUAUUUGUGGUUUUGAGGAAAGCAUUUGCCCAUCAUAUCAAUUAUCAGGCUACUGAGGACAGUGGAUAAAAUUGAUAUAUGGUGUUUUGUUACCAUGAUAUGGAGGGUAAUGGUGGAUGAGUGUGGGAUGACACUAACAGGACAAUAAGAAUCGCGUUUGAGAGAACUGAAAUGCAUUCUAAGCUAGUAUUUCAUCUUAGCCAAGUAUUCAAGUUUAUGAAACUACUGUCUGUAAGACAGGUAUUACGAUGCAAGCAAAUACAGUUGUAGCAAAUAAUAUUAUAUCUUUGAUAAAUAAAAUUAAUUUGAAUUUA